rnacentral:rRNA from 1 species
UACGUAGGGAGCAAGCGUUGUCCGGAAUCAUUGGGCGUAAAGCGCGCGUAGGCGGCCCUGUAAGUCCGUUGUGAAAGUCAAAGGCUCAACCUUUGAAAGCCGAUGGAUACUGCAGGGCUAGAGUCCGGAAGAGGCGAGUGGAAUUCCCGGUGUAGCGGUGAAAUGCGCAGAUAUCGGGAGGAACACCUAUGGCGAAGGCAGCUCGCUGGGACGUUACUGACGCUGAGACGCGAAAGCGUGGGGAGCGAACAGG